rnacentral:rRNA from 1 species
UGCAGUCGAGCGAACUGAUUAGAAGCUUGCUUCUAUGACGUUAGCGGCGGACGGGUGAGUAACACGUGGGCAACCUGCCUGUAAGACUGGGAUAACUCCGGGAAACCGGAGCUAAUACCGGAUAACAUUUUCUCUUGCAUAAGAGAAAAUUGAAAGAUGGUUUCGGCUAUCACUUACAGAUGGGCCCGCGGUGCAUUAGCUAGUUGGUGAGGUAACGGCUCACCAAGGCAACGAUGCAUAGCCGACCUGAGAGGGUGAUCGGCCACACUGGGACUGAGACACGGCCCAGACUCCUACGGGAGGCAGCAGUAGGGAAUCUUCCGCAAUGGACGAAAGUCUGACGGAGCAACGCCGCGUGAGUGAUGAAGGCUUUCGGGUCGUAAAACUCUGUUGUUAGGGAAGAACAAGUACAAGAGUAACUGCUUGUACCUUGACGGUACCUAACCAGAAAGCCACGGCUAACUACGUGCCAGCAGCCGCGGUAAUACGUAGGUGGCAAGCGUUAUCCGGAAUUAUUGGGCGUAAAGCGCGCGCAGGCGGUUUCUUAAGUCUGAUGUGAAAGCCCACGGCUCAACCGUGGAGGGUCAUUGGAAACUGGGGAACUUGAGUGCAGAAGAGAAAAGCGGAAUUCCACGUGUAGCGGUGAAAUGCGUAGAGAUGUGGAGGAACACCAGUGGCGAAGGCGGCUUUUUGGUCUGUAACUGACGCUGAGGCGCGAAAGCGUGGGGAGCAAACAGGAUUAGAUACCCUGGUAGUCCACGCCGUAAACGAUGAGUGCUAAGUGUUAGAGGGUUUCCGCCCUUUAGUGCUGCAGCUAACGCAUUAAGCACUCCGCCUGGGGGAGUACGGUCGCAAGACUGAAACUCAAAGGAAUUGACGGGGGCCCGCACAAGCGGUGGAACAUGGUGGUUUAAUUCGAAGCAACGCGAAGAACCUUACCAGGUCUUGACAUCCUCUGACAACUCUAGAAGAUAGAGCGUUCCCCUUCGGGGGACAGAGUGACAGGUGGUUGCAUGGUUGUCGUCAGCUCGUGUCGUGAGAUGUUUGGGUUAAGUCCCGCAACGAGCGCAACCCUUGAUCUUAGUUGCCAGCA